rnacentral:rRNA from 1 species
UACGAAGGGGGCUAGCGUUGUUCGGAAUUACUGGGCGUAAAGCGCGCGCAGGCGGUCCUUUAAGUCAGGGGUGAAAGCCCAGAGCUCAACUCUGGAACUGCCCUUGAAACUAAAGGACUUGGGUACGGGAGAGGUGAGUGGAAUUCCGAGUGUAGAGGUGAAAUUCGUAGAUAUUCGGAAGAACACCAGUGGCGAAGGCGGCUCACUGGCCCGUUACCGACGCUCAGGCGCGACAGCGUGGGGAGCAAACAGG